UGCCUGCCCGGUGAUUAAUUUUUAAUUAAACGGCUGCGGUACUCUGACCGUGCAAAGGUAGCAUAAUCAUUAGCCUGUUAAUUACAGGCUGGCAUCAACGGCAAGACGAAGAAAAAGCUGUCUCUUUCCAUAAAAAUUUGAAUUUUUUAUUUUGGUCAAGAAGCCAAAAUAAGUCAGUGGGACGAGAAGACCCUAUUGAGUUUUAACUUUGUUUUAGAAAAGAUUAUUUAAAUUAAAGUUUUGGUUGGGGCAACUAAUUUUAUUAUUAAACAAAAAUUUUUUAUAAGGAAUUGAGUCUUUGAGUUAAUUGACCCAAACAUAUUUUGGAACAUAGAAAAAAUUACCAUAGGGAUAACAGCGUAAUUCCUUUUGAGAGUACGUAUUGACAAAGGAGUUUGCGACCUCGAUGUUGGAUCAAGAAAACCUAGAGGUGUAGCGGUUUCUGAAGGUUGGUUUGUUCAACCAUAAAAAACUU
rnacentral:rRNA from 1 species